GUGCCAAGCAGCCGCGGUAAUUCCAGCUCCAAUAGCGUAUAUUAAAGUUGUUGUGGUUAAAAAGCUCGUAGUUGGAUCUCGGCGGACUGAGGGCGGUUUGCUUGCUAGUAUUACUGCCCUAUAGUCCGUAGUUUUGCCAGAGGUUUCGGGGUGCUCUUAAUCGAGUGUCCCGGGAUGCUGGCAGGUUUACUUUGAAAAAAUUAGAGUGCUCAAAGCAGGCUAUUACGCCUGAAUAUUCGUGCAUGGAAUAAUAGAAUAGGAAGUCGUUUCUAUUUUGUUGGUUUUCGGAAAUCGACUUAAUGAUUAAUAGGGACAGUCGGGGGCAUUUGUAUUCAAACGACAGAGGUGAAAUUCUUGGACCGUUUGAAGACAAACUACUGCGAAAGCAUUUGCCAAGAAUGUUUUCAUUAAUCAAGAACGAAAGUUAAAGGUUCGAAGGCGAUUAGAUACCGCCCUAGUUUUAACCAUAAACGAUGCCAGCUAGCGAUCUGCGGACGUUUUUUGUGUAGACUCCGCUGGAAGCUUCCGGGAAACCAAAGCAUUUGGGUUCCAGGGGAAGUAUGGUUGCAAAGCUGAAACUUAAAGGAAUUGACGGAAGGGCACCACCAGGAGUGGAGCCUGUGGCUUAAUUUGACUCAACACGGGAAAUCUCACCAGGCCCGGACACUGGAAGGAUUGACAGAUUGAUAGCUCUUUCUUGAUUCGGUGGGUGGUGGUGCAUGGCCGUUCUUAGUUGGUGGAGUGAUUUGUCUGGUUAAUUCCGAUAACGAACGAGACUCUGUCCUGCUAAAUAGUGUCUGCUUCUCUUUUGACGCAGACAAUUCUUCUUAGAGGGACUGGCGACUCUUAGUCGCACGAGAUUGACGCAAUACACAGGUCUGUGAUGCCCAAGGCGAAUCCGUUAACUGCAG
rnacentral:rRNA from 1 species